GGGGGCUUACAUGCAGUCGACGGUGAACACGGAGCUUGCUCUGUGGGAUCAGUGGCGAACGGGUGAGUAACACGUGAGCAACCUGCCCCUGACUCUGGGAUAAGCGCUGGAAACGGCGUCUAAUACUGGAUAUGUGACGUGACCGCAUGGUCUGCGUUUGGAAAGAUUUUUCGGUUGGGGAUGGGCUCGCGGCCUAUCAGCUUGUUGGUGAGGUAAUGGCUCACCAAGGCGUCGACGGGUAGCCGGCCUGAGAGGGUGACCGGCCACACUGGGACUGAGACACGGCCCAGACUCCUACGGGAGGCAGCAGUGGGGAAUAUUGCACAAUGGGCGAAAGCCUGAUGCAGCAACGCCGCGUGAGGGAUGACGGCCUUCGGGUUGUAAACCUCUUUUAGCAGGGAAGAAGCGAAAGUGACGGUACCUGCAGAAAAAGCGCCGGCUAACUACGUGCCAGCAGCCGCGGUAAUACGUAGGNCGCAAGCGUUAUCCGGAAUUAUUGGGCGUAAAGAGCUCGUAGGCGGUUUGUCGCGUCUGCUGUGAAAUCCCGAGGCUCAACCUCGGGCCUGCAGUGGGUACGGGCAGACUAGAGUGCGGUAGGGGAGAUUGGAAUUCCUGGUGUAGCGGUGGAAUGCGCAGAUAUCAGGAGGAACACCGAUGGCGAAGGCAGAUCUCUGGGCCGUAACUGACGCUGAGGAGCGAAAGGGUGGGGAGCAAACAGGCUUAGAUACCCUGGUAGUCCACCCCGUAAACGUUGGGAACUAGUUGUGGGGUCCAUUCCACGGAUUCCGUGACGCAGCUAACGCAUUAAGUUCCCCGCCUGGGGAGUACGGCCGCAAGGCUAAAACUCAAAGGAAUUGACGGGGACCCGCACAAGCGGCGGAGCAUGCGGAUUAAUUCGAUGCAACGCGAAGAACCUUACCAAGGCUUGACAUAUACGAGAAC
rnacentral:rRNA from 1 species